GAUGAACGCUGGCGGCGUGCCUAAUACAUGCCAGUCGAGCGAACAGACGAGGAGCUUGCUCCUCUGACGUUAGCGGCGGACGGGUGAGUAACACGUGGAUAACCUACCUAUAAGACUGGGAUAACUUCGGGAAACCGGAGCUAAUACCGGAUAAUAUAUUGAACCGCAUGGUUCAAUAGUGAAAGACGGUUUUGCUGUCACUUAUAGAUGGAUCCGCGCCGCAUUAGCUAGUUGGCAAGGUAACGGCUUACCAAGGCAACGAUGCGUAGCCGACCUGAGAGGGUGAUCGGCCACACUGGAACUGAGACACGGUCCAGACUCCUACGGGAGGCAGCAGUAGGGAAUCUUCCGCAAUGGGCGAAAGCCUGAUGGAGCAACGCCGCGUGAGUGAUGAAGGUCUUCGGAUCGUAAAACUCUGUUAUUAGGGAAGAACAAAUGUGUAAGUAACUAUGCACGUCUUGACGGUACCUAAUCAGAAAGCCACGGCUAACUACGUG
rnacentral:rRNA from 1 species